rnacentral:rRNA from 2 species
CCUACGGGAGGCAGCAGUUAGGAAUCUUCCGCAAUGGGCGAAAGCCUGACGGAGCGACACUGCUUGGAGGAUGAAGGUUUUCGGAUCGUAAACUCCUGAACGAGGGACGAAUAAUGACGGUACCUCGCUAAUAGCACCGGCUAACUCCGUGCCAGCAGCCGCGGUAAU